rnacentral:lncRNA from 1 species
GAAAAAGAAAAAAUGGGGUCACCGGACUCGUUUUCUUGCUACAUGUAAAAAUGGGUAAAUUCCUAACACAUUCUAUUGUAAAAGUAACACUAUCCGGAUUAUCUGCCCUUGCAUUUGAGUUGCUUCCCCUUAUUUGACAAAGUUGGAAAAAAAUUAAUCAAACAACAGAAUUCUUAUUUUUGUAAAAUACAAUCAUAAAUAUGAUCAAACAUGGCAUUUUCUAUAUUAAAAUGAAAAUUCUUACACAUGAAUUACCUACUAUUAUAAAAAUUUGCACAUUUCAUCAAAGAUCUAGACCUUGUUUUC